AUACUUUUUGAUCUGAAUCUAAAGUUAAAUUCAAGAUUUCGGGUUUUGUGCAGUUAAUUGACAAUUUUUUUAAAAUUAUUAUAACAUUAACGGUUAAAGUAUCAUUAUCUUAAUAUGAAUAAAAAACAAUUACAAGAGAAAAUCCUUGGAAAUGUGAUAAGUACAUAAAUAAGAUCUCCUGUGUAUUUCGUGUCUUUAUUGCGUUUAGAAUGUUUUUAAAACUAAGGGUAACAAUCUAUGUAUAUGGUAUCCUUAUAAUAGAACAAUAAACCUUCGUUGAAUGAAGAUGGUAAGACUGGGAUACUACCAUUGCAUGCUAUAAAUAGUAUUGAUCCUCUAAGCCAAGGACCUGCUGAGGAAGUGCAGAGUCACAUUAUUAUGGACGAUGAUGAAGUGAUUGAACCAGUAAAAAUAAAUAUUCAAAACAAUGCAAUUCGGCUUGUCGAUUAUGACAGCAGUAGUGAGGAAAGGGAUUUUUUUGGUGAUUUGGAUGAAGAUCCAACUUUUCAGUCCAAUUUAGAGCACGAAAAAUCUUAAAUCUCUGAUUUUUCAGGCUAUAUGGCUGCAAAUAAGGAGAAAACCUUAACUCGACGAAAACAAAAUCACCCAGAAACCUGGAAGGCCAAUGUAGCGAAAUCUCUUCGAGCAAAAUUUCUCCCCUAUUCAACAAAAAAAAAAAAACAACCUGCUAAUGCUCCUAAACCAAUAGACUGCUCAAAAUGUAGGUUCUGAGGCCGAUAGGCAAGCAAUUUGUGCAACGUAUUAGGGUUUUUCAAACUAUAACAGGUAAAAAGACUUUAUAUUAAACUUUGUACAAAGUAAACUUCCAAAACGCAGAAGGGCAAACACCAAAAAUGAAAAAUCGCGACAAAUAUCUAAACCAUACUUAUUAGAAAACAAAAACAAAAGGGACAGAGUAUGUGCAAGUUUUUUUUGAGAAAACGCUUUGUGUUUCAAAUGGACCAGUCAAUACUGCUUUCAAAGGUGCAAAUAUUGGAUCUUUUACUGGAAAUUAUAAGAGAGGUCGAAAAGUUCCGGGAAAUAAAACAAACGAAGCUGGAAUAGCUUUAGUAAAGAGCCAAAUAGAGAGCUUUCCAGUCAUGGAAUCCCAUUAUGUGAGGAAAUCUACGAAGAAAUUGUAUCUUGAUUCUUGACAGUAGUUUGUCCAUUUGGAAAAUGUAUAACCUUUAUCGCAAUGAUUUUUGCAAGAUGCAUAAUGUUACUGAUAUUGUCAGUGAACAAAUUUUAAAUCAAAAAAAGACCUUUGCGCAAUGUGUGCAAAAUAUGCUCAAGCUUCUAAAAAGGUAAAUGUGAAUUGGAAGCAGAAUACUCAAUGCAUUUGAUGCAAAAAAACGAAUGCAAUGAAGUCGAAAAUACAGAUGAAAUGCGAUGCAUUGAUGAUCCCAAAUUCAUAACUUGCACCUUUAACUUGCGAAGUAUUUUGCAGUUGCCAUAUUCAAGUGUUUCAUUGUUUUAUUAUUCAAGAAAAAUAUGCGUGUAUAGUUUGGCAAUCUAUGUUGGAAGUGGAGAAGAUGUUCAUUGUGACACUUGGAACGAAUUAAAUGGUAAGCGAGGAAGUAAUUAGAUAGGCUCAAUUUUAUACCGUUUUUUGGAAGUGUUGCUCACAAGUGUGACUGAUGUUUCACUGUUCUGUGACACUUGCGGUGGCCAGAAAAGAAACUAAGAAGUGUCAGCUGUUUUGAUGUAUGCCGUUCAAAACUUUAGCCACCUUAAUAGAGGAGAACUUAAAUCCUUAAAGUCAGGACACUCACACAUGGAGUGUGACUCCAUGCAUUCUGCAAUUGAAUCGGCCAAGAAAAAUAAUAGCACCUUUACAAUGACGAUUGGUAACGCAUUUAUCAAUCAGCUAGAUCAAUAUAAACAGAUGUAACAGAAAAGUAAAGGUGGAUAUCAAGUUCAUCUCUUAAAGUUUACGGAUUUCUUUAAUCUUCAGGAACUGGUAGCCAACACAAUCAAAAACCGGAACUAAGAUGAAAGCGGUGACAAAAUCUGAAUACAAAAAAAAUGGGUGUGGAAGAGGUCGCUGGAGGAAAAUAUUUGGACUUAAAUCUGCAUAGGUCGAUUUUUUGCCGAUUUCCUCAGCCAAAAAGGCAGACCUUAUAAAACUUUGCGAUGCCGACUUGAUUCCAGAGGAAGUCAUUCCAUGGUUCAAAACUUUGCCUACGAUAAAUUUUACGCAUGCCGGGCGCUUACCAGAGCCCUCUAAUGAUGAAAGCGAUUUGGAAAAUGAAUAAAGUGUAUUUCCUUUUAUAUUGUUAAUGUUAAUAUAGUUAUUUCCUUAAACUUAUCUCAAUAAAACAUCAACGUUAAUCACUAUUCGAAAGAUUUUUUAUUCAGUAUAAUCUAUGCGCGGCUGCCAAUCCGGCAAGAAAAAGUCUU